AACGAACGCUGGCGGCAGGCCUAACACAUGCAAGUCGAGCGAGGACUUCGGUUCUAGCGGCGGACGGGUGAGUAACGCGUGGGAAUGUGCCCUUCUCUACGGAAUAGCCCUGGGAAACUGGGAGUAAUACCGUAUACGCCCUAUUGGGGAAAGAUUUAUCGGAGAAGGAUCAGCCCGCGUUGGAUUAGGUAGUUGGUGGGGUAAUGGCCUACCAAGCCGACGAUCCAUAGCUGGUUUGAGAGGAUGAUCAGCCACACUGGGACUGAGACACGGCCCAGACUCCUACGGGAGGCAGCAGUGGGGAAUCUUAGACAAUGGGGGCAAUCCUGAUCUAUCCAUGCCGCGUGAGUGAUGAAGGCAUUAGGGUUGUAAAGCUCUUUCAGCUGGGAAGAUAAUGACGGUACCUGCAGAAGAAGCCACGGCUAACUCCGUG
rnacentral:rRNA from 1 species